CACUUCACAAUGUCAUGUGUUUCUCAUUAUGUUAACCUAUAGUUUGGCACUGCACAAUGUCAUGUGUUUCUCAUACUGUUUACCUAUAGUUUGGCACUGCACAAGGUCAUGUGUUUCUCAUACAGUUUACCUAUAGUUUGGCACUGCACAAGGUCAUGUGUUUAUCAUACUGUUUACCUAUAGUUUGGCACUGCACAAGGUCAUGUGUUUCUCAUACUGUUUACCUAUAGUUUGGCACUGCACAAGGUCAUGUGUUUCUCAUACUGUUUACCUAUAGUUUGGCACUGCACAAGGUCAUGUGUUUCUCAUACUGUUUACUUAUCGUUUGGCACUGCACAAGGUCAUGUGUUUCUCAUACUGUUUACCUAUAGUUUGGCACUGCACAAGGUCAUGUGUUUCUCAUACUGUUUACCUAUAGUUUGGCACUGCACAAGGUCAUGUGUUUCUCAUACUGUUUACCUAUAGUUUGGCACUGCACAAGGUCAUGUGUUUCUCAUACUGUUUACCUAUAGUUUGGCACUGCACAAGGUCAUGUGUUUCUCAUACUGUUUACCUAUAGUUUGGCAUCGCACAAAGUCAUACUUUUUUUCAUACUGUUUAUGAUGUGUACUGAUUGAUACUUUUAAAGUCGUGGAGAGUUAUUUAUCAGUUGUAAUUGGCUUUGAUCGAGCUUUCAGUAACUACGAGUACUCCUUAUUUCUGUACUUUGUGUCUUUUGCUUUUAUGUUAGUUCUUGUUGCACAUCGUAUUUUUUUUUUAUUUUUUUAACUUUACAGUAUUCCCUUUAUCUGUCUUCGGGCUAUUUUGGUUUUCUUUGUGCUUAUGUAUAUCUCUGGUAUUUAAACCAACGUCCAAGGUUAGGGGGAGCGCUCACAAACAUGUUUUACCACGCCACAUUCUUUAUGAGCCUCUCCGAAGUCCGGUCUGGCAUAUGUGUUUUUUCGUGAAUUGUUAUGUGUUUGUAUGAGUAUUUUUAUUGUGUCAACCACCGGUCACCAAAUAUUUUUUUUCAAAUAAAAUAAACGUCUCU